rnacentral:misc_RNA from 1 species
AAAGUCGUAACAAGGUUUCCGUAGGUGAACCUGCGGAAGGAUCAUUACAAAUCCAGUCACUGAACCUGUUGAAAUGCGAGCGAGAGGGUGCGGGGAAGGAUCGUAGAGGGGGGAGGGAGGGAAGGGCCAUUGCGUUUGACGCGUUUGCCCUCUUUCUCUCCUUUUUCCCUUUACCCUACCCCCUCAUUCUCUCUCUUUCUACACUUGCAGACAAACGAUACCCUUUUAUUUGACACAACUUAUAACAAUGGAUCUCUAGGCUCUU